GAUGAACGCUGGCGGCGUGCUUAAUACAUGCAAGUCGAGCGAACAGACGAGGAGCUUGCUCCUCUGACGUUAGCGGCGGACGGGUGAGUAACACGUGGAUAACCUACUUAUAAGACUGGGAUAACUUCGGGACACCGGAGCUAAUACCGGAUAAUCUAUUGAACCGCAUGGUUCAAUAGUGAAAGACGGUUUUGCUGUCUCUUAUCGCUGGAUCCGCGCCGCAUUAGCUAGUUGGUAAGGUAACGGCUUACCACGGCGACGAUGCGUAGCCGACGUGAGAGGGGGGUAGGCCACACUAGAGCGGAGACGCGGACAAGGCGACUGAGGGAGGCAGCAGUAGGGAAUCUGCCGCAAUGGGCGAGAGUUUGACGGAGCAACGCGAAGUGAGAGAUGAAAGUCUCGGGAGCGGAAAACUCUGUUAUGGGGGGAAAACAAAUGUGUAAGUAAAUAUGCACGUAGUGACGGUACCUGAUCAAAAAGCCACGGCUAACUACGUG
rnacentral:rRNA from 1 species